rnacentral:misc_RNA from 1 species
GUAAAUAUCCAGCCACUUAGCUAGCCCUGCAGCCACCACCGUCAAAGGCGUGUUGAGAUAUCCACUGGGACGAUCCCGCAAAGCAGCGAAGAACAAGGAGCCGGCCGGGUGGAAGGCACCGAGCGCAGUACAGGGAUUUACGAGACAUUGAGGAAUCAAAAUCGGCCAAACAUUCUGAACCAGUUUAACAAUUAAGGUCGAAAAUGCUAGGGAAACAGAGAGAACGGU